CAGGAACAAGUGGCCUGAGGACCUGCCAGGGUUCAGGUGAUGAAUCCAUUUGCGACCCUGACGACCUUUGGAUUUGGCUAUACUUCUCUCCUGAUCAAUCAAGAUUCCUUCUCCUUUUAGUUAGUUACUAUAUGUGAUGAUCGAUGAAACGAGAAUUAACUGAGACAAUGCCUUUUUUUUGGCUACUAAUUAAAAAACAAGAGAUGUGUGAAACGAGAAUGAUUUGCACGCACGCACGCAGAGAGGCGCUGGAGGAGUACACGAACGCUCUUGAAGAGCUGGCGUUGAAGCUGCUGGAGCUGCUGGCCCGGAGCCUGAAGCUGAGGCCCGACCGGCUGCACGGCUUCUUCAAGGAGCACACGUCGUUCUUCCGGCUGAACCACUACCCUCCGUGCCCGGCGCCGGAGGUGGUGCU
rnacentral:lncRNA from 1 species